rnacentral:rRNA from 1 species
AUACGUAUGUCGCAAGCGUUAUCCGGAAUUAUUGGGCGUAAAGCGAGUCUAGGCGGCUUGUUAAGUCAGAUGUGAAAAUGCGGGGCUCAACUCCGUAUUGCGUUUGAAACUGGCAGGCUAGAGUACUGGAGAGGUGGGCGGAACUACAAGUGUAGAGGUGAAAUUCGUAGAUAUUUGUAGGAAUGCCGAUAGUGAAGACAGCUCACUGGACAGAUACUGACGCUAAAGCUCGAAAGCGUGGGGAGCGAACAGGAUUAGAUACCCUAGUAGUCC